rnacentral:lncRNA from 1 species
AAAAAAAAAAAAAAAAAAAAAAAGAGUGGAUCUAAUAUGAAGAACACAGACGAGGCACCAGGCUGAGUGGGAAAUAGAAAGAAAGAAGGAGGGAGACAGAAUGUGAGAGCAAGAGGUGAGUGGGGAGGGAAAGAAAGGCCAACUUUAGCUUUUGAUAAUUUCCAUUGACUGUUGAUCCUUAAUUCUUAAUAAAACGCUUCCUUUUCAGCUAAUUCGGCUCAUUUUUCUGUCCCACAUCUAUAUAGAGCUGUGAGUCUCACGUGUUAGCAUAUUCCUAAGUGUGAUUUCAUGUUCACAAUACAUUUCCUCAUAUUCUACCUGCAAUGAAGGUAACUGCCUAUGGAUGUCACAGGUUGGUUUCUUUGGAAGCAGAUACUGAGGGAAAUGGGAUUGGUAUAUGUUAGGGAUCAAUCUAUGUGAAGAAAGAAGGAAGGAAGUGGAAUGGAGAAAGGAGAAAGUCAAACUUCAUAUAGGGUCCGAGAGAGCCGUCUCUCAGGCAAGGGCUCUGGAGCCCAUGCUGUCCUCCAGAGCAUCCCAACUGCAUCUUUUUACUCAGCCACUGGACAGAUGCUGGGGGAAUCCCACAGUCUGGGAGAAACUGAGUCUCUGCAGCUAAGAGCAAGCAGAGGAACUAGAACUGAAGGCUCUCUUCGGGCCACACUCCUUAUGUUUGGACAGCAAAGCCUUCCUAGAGGGACAUCCCUGUUUACCUCCUUGACUGUGCCACCACGUUAACAGGGUACCAUGAUUUUUUUAUACUGAGCAUUUCAUCUAGACACCUAGUAUGUCUGCUGAAGGUCACAUAGCAGAUUUGUUGCCGAGCCACACACUAAACAAAACAGUCCUACUUUUCAAUUAAGAUCUUGAUCUGAAGUGAUCCAAGAGGCCAGGAAAGGCCUUAUCUCCUGCUCCUUCUGGUCCACUUCAGCCUCUCUCUUUGGUUUUUGGAGAAAGUAUUUUCCUACACAGUACAUGAGGUCUGUUAGUAAUAAAUCAGUUUAUUCACUCUCUGGAACUGCUUUCUCUAUGUCCUUUGUCAAGCCCACUUCUCCAGAGAUGAAGAAAUGAGAAAUCCAGAAACCAAAGACCUUGCUCUUUUGUCAAACAGACUUGGUAGAGCAGAGUUGCAAAAUCAGACCUUUGGGGGCUUGCGUGUUUCUCCUCUUACUCCCUGGUGUAGGUAACUGAGGCUCUGGCUUCCGCUGGGAGUGGGGGUGGGGGUGGGACAGUGACCCUUGCUGAUAUUUUGAAGUUCUAGAUCCUUGAAUUCAUCUCAUGAAUGGCUUUGGACUUACAGACACCCCCCCCCCCCCAGUAUAUAGUCCUUGUACCAUGUUUCUUUCCUUAGUAGGUCUGCUCAAGCUCUCUUAGACUGGUAUGGAGUGAGCGAAUCUUCUCUGGAAACAGUAUUAGUUGCUUUGCAUCACUGCAGUUACCAUGCUGGUAGAAACAACUUAAGAGAGGAGGAGCUAGCUUUGACUCACAGUUUCUGAGGCUUUUCAGACUAGCAUAGCAGGGACAGCAUGAAAGAAUGGCUCCCUCUGUGGCAGCGGGAGCUCACAGGACAUUGGGCUGGGGGACAGAGAGAAUGCUGAUGCUUCUGAAAUUCGGCCCUUAGUAACUUCGGCCUGCCAGGCCCCAAUGGCAUUCUCAGCUGAGGAACAAACAUUGAAGUCAUGAACCUGUAGGGACAUUUCAGAUUCAAAGCACAAUAAAAAAAAACCAACUAGAUAAGUUUUAAUGUGUGAGAGACAGAGAGACAAAAAAAUUGAGGAAUCACAUCCUGUGUAGGUAUAGAAAAAAAAAUUCUUUUUUGAGACAAGGUCUCACUAGGUAGACCAGGCUAGCCUUGAACUCAGAGAUCCACCUGCCUUUACCUCUCAGAUUCUGGUAAAGAUGUUUUUAAAGAAAACUUGAAAUUCUUAUUGUAAUUACAAACCAUUUCCUAAGGUUUGUUUUAUACUUGGUCACCCUCUAUGGUCCCUGGAUCACAUGCAGGUAAUAAAUAACUACCCUAUGUUCUUUCUUCUUUCCUGCCCCAGAUUCUCUGGUCCACUUGAACCAUGCCUCUUUCAAGCAGAGAUUUGCUCUGUAUCAGCCAACUCUCUGCAAAUCAGCUGACUAAUGAUUUUCUAUCUUUAUUAUAAAACAACCUAGAAAAGUUUGUAGUUUACUGAGAAUCCCUCUGAGUCAUAUCUCAGAAAAAAAGUCCUCCACGAGCCAUUCUAUAUGAUUUUGGGUCAGAGGAGCCGCCUCUUCAUUCCUAAAAGCAGCUGGCUUUUAAUACCGUGGCUCUGGACCAGGAGACGGGUAGACACUCGGGCUUCCAAGGCAUUGUAGAGGAGCAGUCGAUGUUUGGCAUGUCACUUUUGUCAGCGAUUUGGUCAUCCCUGUAAAGAGAAGAUUAUAACAACUCUGUGUGUGUAUGUGUGCAUGUGUGUACACACUCAGCACCCUUUGCCCCCGGGGUUGUCUACAAAUCAAUGAGAUCAUCUAAGUGAAAUACUGUGUCUACUCAAUCGUAAGUUCCCUUUAUAACCGGAUUACACUUUCCAUGAGUCAUCUCGUACGUCAGUUCUUGGCAUAGCUGUCGUUAAUCCUACCAUGGUUUCUCUUUUUUCUCCUUUCUCGUUUCCUGGCAAAUGAUCAAGUUGGUCAUAUGCACAUCUCCCUAUGCCAUAUUUAAUACCUUUUUGGUUCCAGUUAGGUAUAUAAGCUCCCCCCCCCCAUCACUAGGGAGACUAGAACUCCCUCCCUCACUAGGAAUCAAUCAGAAUGUCUUCCAGUUGACAGCUGGAUAUCUGACAAGUGACACACUAUUGUUCAAUCUCUGUGCAGUCAUGGGGAAAAACCAAAGGAUGAACUGAGAAUCCAGAAUUGUGUGCUCCAGACUCCCACUGCCGUUGAUAUCUAAGGGGGCUCCAGGCUGUGUCUUUAAAAAAAUGUUGUCUUUGAAACCCACUCCUUCCCAAAUUUCUUCCC